CUCAGCAUCCAUUUUACCUAUUCAGAUGUCAUUUGGCCCUGGACUGGUUAUCUUGCACUGCACAUGCAAAUCAAAGAAGAAGGAGCUCAGUUUUCAGGGGUAAUUGAAGGUAAUGUGACUGUCAAGAUCCACAGCCCACCUGCUCUGGGUGAAAAGAGUCGUCGAAGUAGUACCUGUGUCCUUCAAUUGAAAUUAAAAGUGGUUCCUACUCCACCAAGAUCUGUGCGGAUAUUGUGGGAUCAAUUUCACAGUAUCAAAUAUCCUCCUGCGUGACUGUCAAGAUCCACAGCCCACCUGCUUUAGGUGAAAAGAGUCGUCGAAGUAGUACAUGUGUCCUUCAAUUGAAAUUAAAAGUGGUUCCUACUCCACCAAGAUCUGUGCGGAUAUUGUGGGAUCAAUUUCACAGUAUCAAAUAUCCUGCUGGUUAUAUUCC
rnacentral:lncRNA from 1 species